rnacentral:rRNA from 1 species
CUUGGUCAUUUAGAGGAAGUAAAAGUCGUAACAAGGUUUCCGUAGGUGAACCUGCGGAAGGAUCAUUAUCGAAAUAAAUCUGAAGGAGGAGGGAGCGGGCGAAGUUUGGCAUCGAUGGACUGUCGCUGGCGACUUUGGAAACGAAGUUCGCAUGUGCACGUCCGUCCUUCCUUAGUCCUCGCUCUCUUGCCUUUGGAGAAAAACAAACCUUUACACCUGUGCACCUGUUGUAGGUCCCUUUGCGGGGAUCUAUGUUUUUUCCAUAACACCGAACGUAUGUCUACAGAAUGUCUUUAAUGCGUCGAUCGGCAUGGCUAACGCUGUGUCGGAGACGGUAAACUAUCAUUACAACUUUCAGCAACGGAUCUCUUGGCUCUCGCAUCGAUGAAGAACGCAGCGAAUUGCGAUAAGUAAUGUGAAUUGCAGAUUUUCAGUGAAUCAUCGAAUCUUUGAACGCACCUUGCGCUCCUUGGUAUUCCGAGGAGCAUGCCUGUUUGAGUGUCAUCUAAUUCUCAACCACGCUUCGAUUGAUUUCGAUGUCUUCGUGGCUUGGAUUUGGGGGCUGCCGGCGACCCUUGGUUGGGACGUCGGCUCUCCUUAAAAGCAUUAGCAAAGGCGAGCCUCGCAUGUACGGCCUUCGGCGUGAUAAUGAUCGUCGUGGNCUAGAGUGCGUCGGGCAUGAAUCGUCAGUGCUUCUAAUCACGUCUUCGCUCCGGCGGAACGACCUUACUUUAAGACUUGACCUCAAAUCAGGUAGGACUACCCGCUGAACUUAAGCAUAUCAAUAAGCGGAGGAAAAGAAACUAACAAGGAUUCCCCUAGUAACUGCGAGUGAAGAGGGAAGAGCUCAAAUUUUGAAUCUGGCGGUCUCGUGGCCGUCCGAGUUGUAAUCUAGAGAAGCGUUUUCCGCGCUGGACCGUGUAUAAGUCUCCUGGAAGGGAGCUGUCGUAGAGGGUGAGAAUCCCGUCUUUGACACGGACUACCAGGGCUAUGUGAUGCGCUCUCGACGAGUCGAGUUGUUUGGGAAUGCAGCUCAAAUCGGGUGGUAAAUUCCAUCUAAAGCUAAAUACAGGCGAGAGACCGAUAGCGAACAAGUACCGUGAGGGAAAGAUGAAAAGAACUUUGGAAAGAGAGUUAAACAGUACGUGAAAUUGCUGAAAGGGAAACGCUUGAAGU